rnacentral:rRNA from 1 species
UACGUAGGGGGCAAGCGUUAUCCGGAUUUACUGGGUGUAAAGGGAGCGUAGACGGCCAGACAAGUCUGAAGUGAAAAUCCAGCGCUUAACGCUGGAAAUGCUUUGGAAACUGCCGGGCUGGAGUGCAGGAGGGGCAGGCGGAAUUCCUAGUGUAGCGGUGAAAUGCGUAGAUAUUAGGAGGAACACCAGUGGCGAAGGCGGCCUGCUGGACUGCAACUGACGUUGAGGCUCGAAGGCGUGGGGAGCAAACAGG